rnacentral:lncRNA from 1 species
CGUGGAGAUGCUUAGAGGCUGCUGGACGCGUGAUUCUGGAAUUCACAGGAGAGAUUGGUGGCAGUGGUGUGACUGAAAGAGACUUCCGGUGGCAUUUGGGGACAAUGAGAAACACAGUGGUGGUACCUGCAAACUCCCUUCUGAAUUCACUGUCUUUCUCACCAUUUCUGAGGGCUGUGGGGGCUAUACCAGGUCCUCCUCACUACACAGAUGACAGCAGAACCUCUGGGACUUGAACUCUGGGUGCACAUCUCAUAACUGAAGAAGGCUCUACCUGACACCUGGCCCAAACUGACCAGGAAGAGAAGUAGCUGACAGCGAGGUAGACUGCUUCCUCCAAGACACUGGGUCAAGACUUCAGACUUUAAACAUAACACCCUCUCUUCUUCUCUUUCUUUCCUGUACUCUGGCAUUGGCCUGGAAAGACCACUAACAUCUCUAUCUCCCAGGCCAUUGAAGGUGG